UACGAAGGGGGCUAGCGUUGCUCGGAAUCACUGGGCGUAAAGCGCACGUAGGCGGCUUUUUAAGUCAGGGGUGAAAUCCUGGAGCUCAACUCCAGAACUGCCUUUGAUACUGGGAAUCUUGAGUCCGGGAGAGGUGAGUGGAACUCCGAGUGUAGAGGUGAAAUUCGUAGAUAUUCGGAAGAACACCAGUGGCGAAGGCGGCUCACUGGCCCGGUACUGACGCUGAGGUGCGAAAGCGUGGGGAGCAAACAGG
rnacentral:rRNA from 1 species